UAUAUUUUAGUAUAUAAUGUACGAAAAUUUUUGAAGUUUUCAGAAGUAGUCAAACUCUACUAAAUAUAU
rnacentral:tRNA from 1 species